CAAAAGUACAACCAUGAACGGUGGAUCACUCGGCUCGUGGGUCGAUGAAGAACGCAGCAAAUUGCGCGUAGACAUGUGAACUGCAGGACACAUGAACAUCGACAUUUCGAACGCACAUUGCGGUCCAUGGAUUCCGUUCCCGGACCACGCCUGGCUGAGGGUCGGUAGCUAAAA
rnacentral:rRNA from 1 species